UAAGACAGAGGUCUCGAGCGUUAAUCGGAAUUAUUGGGCUUAAAGCGUGCGUAGGCGGGCCGUUAAGCACUCCGUGAAAGCCCCCGGCUCAACCGGGGAACAGCGGGGUGGACUGGCGGCCUUGAGGCAGGUAUGAGCGGACGGAACUGUCGGUGGAGCGGUGAAAUGCGUAGAGAUCGACAGGAACGCCUAUGGUGAAGACGGUCCGCUGGGCCUGUCCUGACGCUCAGGCACGAAAGCGUGGGGAGCAAACAGGAUUAGAUACCCUGGUAGUCCACGCCGUAAACGAUGCGCACUGGACCGGUGCCGCUCUGACGCGGUAUCGGUCGUAGGGAAACCGUUAAGUGCGCCGCCUGGGGAGUACGGUCGCAAGGCUA
rnacentral:rRNA from 1 species